UUUUCAAGGGAAAAGCUGCACUCUCAGUUCAACCUGUCCCACCAACUUUCACUAAGUUGGGUUCAGGGAAUGUUAAAGUUGAACGCCGUGGUAUUAUGAUGUUGACUUUCAUGCCUGCUAUGGGUGAGCGCAAGUAUGACUAUGAAAAGCGGCAGCAUUUUGCUUUGUCAGCAACAGAGGUUGGUUCUUUGAUUAGCUUGGGUCCCAAAGAUUCUUCUGAAUUCUUCCAUGAUCCUUCAAUGUUGUCAAGUAAUGCUGGACAAGUGAGAAAGAGCUUAUCAAUUAAGCCACAGGCAGAUGGUGGUGGUUAUUUUAUGUCAUUAACUGUUGUUAACAAUAUUUUAAGAACCAAUGACCGAUUCAAUGUUCCUCUCACAGCUGGUGAAUUUGCAGUUUUGAAGACAGCUUGCAGUUUUGCAUUGCCCCAUAUCAUGGGUUGGGAUCGGUUAACAGCUAAGCUGCCCAAAGAGAGUGUGGGAAGUCCAUCGAAAGCAAAUCGGCAAGAGCCUGAUAUAGAGUGGGCAAAGUGAAGCCAUACAUAUCUUUCUGCAGAAUGUUGGGUGCACUGCUUGAUGUUACUAUCUCUUGCUUUGUAGAUUUAGAGCAUCGACUCUUGGUUUUGUUAAACAAAGCAUGCAUCCUGUUUUUCUUCCUCCGUAAUCAUUUUAUGCAAUUAGC
rnacentral:misc_RNA from 1 species